AAAUUUUCUAUUUGAAUAUUCUAUCCUUAAAAAAGGCGCCACAUGAAAACUCUGUUUAAGACCCCAAUUUAGCAUGUGAAUCAAUGGGCAUUAGUCGAUACAUCUUUUAAAUAUUUUUCCAGCUGCAUCGUUUAACAUUAACGUCUUUUCCUGCUCACAUUAGCGUAGUUUUAUUGCAAAAAAAAAAAAAAAAUUAAAUAAAGAAGAUUAAUAAAUUUUAUUGUUGGUACCGUUAAACAAUACAUUUAUCUAAAACAAAUAUUCUAACGAAAGUUUAACUGGCAUUAAAUGGCAUACAUAGAAAGCAAAAAAGAAAUUGAAAAUACAAUAAAGAAAAUAUUCUAAACGGAAGAAAAUUAUUUUCAAGAUUAUAUCGGGAAACCUAGGGAAACGUAGCAAUUCAAAAAGAUUUUACUUUCAAUAAAUAUAACGCUACCGUGUCAAGCAGCCUUUCGCUGAGAAGGAUUAACUUUUCACUAACUUUAUUUUGCUUAGAGCAUUAAAGUUUUUUGCUCGUUGUACUUUAACUAAUCCCUUGAAAUUAGUUUUGGAGCGUGCCUUAAUAGAAAAAAGUAACCGUAUAAUUAACCUAUAAAUUUAAACUAUGCUUUAAGUUAAAGUUGUUGUGAAGACAUCAUUAUUAUAAGUUUUGAGAUUUUUGCGCUAUAUCUACGUAUAGAAACUUUUGAAAUUUUCUUCAGAAAUGCAAGGUAAACCUGAAUUAUUUUUAAAUGAUUAUUUUUAAAUGAUUUGAAGAGUAUGAUUUUUUGUGUUACUUCAAAUAGUUAACUAUGUUAAAAGUGUUUUAUUAUUAUACGGCUUUUUGUUAUUUAUUACCGGUUUUAUCUGGUUUUUCUUGAUUAUUCAAUUUUUUGGAUUGUAAAAGUUUUUGUUACGGAUAUAUUAGUUAGUUAACACGAUGUUACAAGAAAGAGAACAACUUAGCUAAAA